rnacentral:SRP_RNA from 1 species
GCCAGGCAUGGUGGCGCAUGCCUGUAAUCCCAGCUACUCGGGAGGCUGAGGCAGAAAAAUUGCUUGAAACCGGGAGGCUGUGGUUGCAGUGAGCCGAGAUUGCACCACUGCACUCCAGCCUGGGUGACAGAGCCAGAAUCUGUCUCAA